rnacentral:misc_RNA from 1 species
GACGAACCGUACGAACGUUAUUCGGAAUUAUUGGGCUUAAAGGGUGCGUAGGCGGUGCAGUAAGUUGGGUGUGAAAUCCCCUGGCUUAACCAGGGAAUUGCAUCCAAAACUACUGUGCUAGAGGAAGACAGAGGUAAGCGGAACUUCGGGUGGAGCGGUGAAAUGCGUUGAUAUCCGAAGGAACACCGGUGGCGAAAGCGGCUUACUGGGUCUUUUCUGACGCUGAGGCACGAAAGCUAGGGUAGCGAACGGG